rnacentral:rRNA from 1 species
CCUACGGGAGGCAGCAGUGGGGAAUAUUGCACAAUGGGGGGACCCCUGAUGCAGCGACGCCGCGUGAGUGAAGAAGUAUUUCGGUAUGUAAAGCUCCAUCAGCAGGGAAGAAAAUGACGGUACCUGACUAAGAAGCCCCGGCUAACUACGUGCCAGCAGCCGCGGUAAUACGUAGGGGGAAAGCGUUAUCCGGGUUUACUGGGUGUAAAGGGAGCGUAGACGGUUAUGUAAGUCUGAAGUGAAAGCCAAAGGCUCAACCAUGGGACUGCUUUGGAAACUGUAAAACUGGAGUGCAGGAGAGGUAAGCGGAAUUCCUAGUGUAGCGGUGAAAUGCGUAGAUAUUAGGAGGAACACCAGUGGCGAAGGCGGCUUACUGGACUGUAACUGACGUUGAGGCUCGAAGGCGUGGGGAGCAAACAGGAUUAGAUACCCGUGUAGUC